rnacentral:rRNA from 1 species
UGGGGAAUUUUGGACAAUGGGGGCAACCCUGAUCCAGCCAUUCCGCGUGAGUGAAGAAGGCCUUCGGGUUGUAAAGCUCUUUUGUCCGGAACGAAACGGUUAGCGUGAAUAUCGCUGACUACUGACGGUACCGGAAGAAUAAGCACCGGCUAACUCUGUGCCAGCAGCCGCGGUAAUACGGAGGGGGUUAGCAUUGUUCGGAAUUACUGGGCGUAAAGCGCGCGUAGGCGGAUUAGAAAGUUAGGGGUGAAAUCCCAGGGCUCAACCCUGGAACUGCCUCUAAAACUCCUAGUCUUGAGGUCGAGAGAGGUGAGUGGAAUUCCGAGUGUAGAGGUGAAAUUCGUAGAUAUUCGGAGGAACACCAGUGGCGAAGGCGGCUCACUGGCUCGAUACUGACGCUGAGGUGCGAAAGCGUGGGGAGCAAACAGGAUUAGAUACCC